GACGAACGCUGGCGGCGUGCUUAACACAUGCAAGUCGAACGGAAAGGCCCUGCUUUUGUGGGGUGCUCGAGUGGCGAACGGGUGAGUAACACGUGAGUAACCUGCCCUUGACUUUGGGAUAACUUCAGGAAACUGGGGCUAAUACCGGAUAGGAGCUCCUGCUGCAUGGUGGGGGUUGGAAAGUUUCGGCGGUUGGGGAUGGACUCGCGGCUUAUCAGCUUGUUGGUGGGGUAGUGGCUUACCAAGGCUUUGACGGGUAGCCGGCCUGAGAGGGUGACCGGCCACAUUGGGACUGAGAUACGGCCCAGACUCCUACGGGAGGCAGCAGUGAGGAAUAUUGCACAAUGGGCGGAAGCCUGACGCAGCAACGCCGCGUGCGGGAUGACGGCCUUCGGGUUGUAAACCGCUUUCGCCUGUGACGAAGCGUGAGUGACGGUAAUGGGUAAAGAAGCACCGGCUAACUACGUG
rnacentral:rRNA from 1 species